GACGAACGCUGGCGGCGUGCCUAAUACAUGCAAGUAGAACGCUGAAGAGAGGAGCUUGCUCUUCUUGGAUGAGUUGCGAACGGGUGAGUAACGCGUAGGUAACCUGCCUGGUAGCGGGGGAUAACUAUUGGAAACGAUAGCUAAUACCGCAUAAAAUGGAUUAUCGCAUGAUAAUCCAUUGAAAGGUGCAAAUGCAUCACUACCAGAUGGACCUGCGUUGUAUUAGCUAGUUGGUGGGGUAACGGCUCACCAAGGCGACGAUACAUAGCCGACCUGAGAGGGUGAUCGGCCACACUGGGACUGAGACACGGCCCAGACUCCUACGGGAGGCAGCAGUAGGGAAUCUUCGGCAAUGGACGGAAGUCUGACCGAGCAACGCCGCGUGAGUGAAGAAGGUUUUCGGAUCGUAAAGCUCUGUUGUAAGAGAAGAACGAGUGUGAGAGUGGAAAGU
rnacentral:rRNA from 1 species